UGGUGAGGGAAUAGGAAUCUUAAGGGGAUCCAAGCGCUUGUAGACAAGUUAGUUUCUCAAGAUAAAAAUGACUUGCCCUUUAUGCAAUGGAAAAAGAAGUUGAAUUCUGAGCCAUGCCUAGAGCCAUCUCAGCCAACAGUAAACGUGACAAGACCCUCAUUGUCUAUCUCCUUCAGUCUCUCCUCAAUCACUUUUUUUUAUUUAUAUGUGUAUGUAUGUAACACUAUUCUUCAAUGAGUUUCUAACUCUUAGGGAGUUUGAAAAAGUAAAGUAUAGGGAACAGAAAAAGAGAGAGACAAGUGACACAGGUGUACUCUCUUGAAAAUUGGAGUUACGUCAUUGUUUGUGGAGCCUAUGUUAGCCAUGCUUGUCAGAUUGAUUAGUAUUGUUGAAAAAGCUUCUGCAGAACACUUUGUAUUGGUAGUGCACUUUAAGAAGACUUGUAUACUCAACAGAUUCACACAAUUUAGAACUGAAAGAAAAUAGUUCUAUGACUCCACUUUUAAACUAUUGUUGAAUCAUUCACUGGUACAACUAUUUAUUUCUUUUUUCUUUCUGAUUGUCUUGAUUUAUAUAACUUUACCAAUUUUACUUUA